GCUGAGGUGAUGGAAUUGGUAUACAUGUACGCUUGAGGUGCGUAUGCCUUUGGCUUGAGGGUUCGAGUCCCUUCCUCAGCA
rnacentral:tRNA from 3 species